AUUGAACUCUGGCGGCAGGCCUAACACAUGCAAGUCGAACGAGUGGCGGACGGGUGAGUAAUGUCUGGGAAACUGCCCGAUGGAGGGGGAUAACACUUGGAAACAGGUGCUAAUACCGCAUACCAUCUGAUGUGCCCAUGUGGGAUUGGCUAGUAGGUGGGGUAACGGCUAACCUAGGCGACGAUCCCUAGCUGGGCUGAGAGGAUGACCAGCCACACUGGAACUGAGACACGGGCCAGACUCCUACGGGAGGCAGCAGUGGGGAAUAUUGCACAAUGGGCGCAAGCCUGAUGCAGCCAUGCCGAGUGUAUGAAGAAGGCCUUCGGGUUGUAAAGUACUUUCAGCGAGGAGGCGUUACUCGCAGAAGAAGCACCGGCUAACUCCGUGCCAGCAGCCGCGGUAAUUC
rnacentral:rRNA from 1 species